GUGAGGAAGAGCACCACAAGUUUGGGAGACGUGAGGAGACAAGCACCACUGCAGCAAGAGACAAGCUUGGGAGACGUGAAGAGACGAACACCCCUACAGCAAGGAGCGGCAGCGAGAAAUCACAGAGAAGCGGGCUGGUCAGAGAGGUGUCCAUAUCUCCACUCAGCCCCCCCGAAGAACCACCCACGGCCUGCUGUGUGAGACGGACUAUAGGAUGGGAACUUGUAUGGCGGGGUAACCUGCCCCUCGACUGCCCGAGUGGCCGUCCUACCACUGUCCUGGUGGCCGAUAUACCACUGCCCCAAGCUGCUCCCUACAUCACGACGAGCGCCCGCCUCUCAACACCACCCGAGCUGCUCCCUCUCCACAUCAAGCGGCGCCCGUCUGUCCAUCACCAGGACCGCCCCUUUCCCAUCGUGGACGUCCCUUGCCGAGCCCGACGCUCACGCCAGCUCCUGCUUCUCCUCCUCCAGCAACCAGAGCUAAGCAUUAUGUGUAUUGCCCCAAAUCUCCCUUGUGCCGGUAGCUAGUUAGAUUAGAGGCAUACAGCCUGUCAGUAAUUCAUUUUUAAGUACUCCGCUAACCUUUGAAAAAUGAAACUAAAUACAUAUUUAGAUACAACCUUACUGAGUGUUAUCAUUUGGAGCCUGUUUUGCUGCUCAUUUGAGAUUACUGAACCCUUACACACAUCCCCCCCCACCCCAAAGUACAUUAUCACCAUCCAGUUUCUUACGCUGUCUCACAAGUGGUUCACACGGAAAUCCUCCCACCUUCCAUAAUUAAUCACAAGUAACGCCCUUCUGGUCACAAAACCUCGGAACGAGUGUUCACUUGUCCUGAGGCCUUACCAUCCGGGACCAGCGCUCGGGAAUGUAGACUACUACCACGCUACCACAUACCAUCACAACCAUAGUGGUCGUCAAAAAAGGGAUGUAGCAUGCCCCCGCUACCCUAUAUGACUAUAAUUACGUAAAUACUGCACGGAACCUCUACACUCAUUAUUUCCCCGACCAUCAUAUCAAUCUUUUAUUUUUUCAACACUGGUUUACUUAUAACUCCACUUCUCCAACAUGAAUAAUCACCUAACUACUUCACGGAGCCUAAACAUUCAUUACUUCAUUAUUUCCAUGAGUAUUUUGCAUCAAUCUAUUAUAAAUGUUCACUUCGGCGCAAUCACAGGUAAGAACACACAAUAAUAACAAUAGGUGUAGAUAAGGCCACGCACCACCAUGGGCUCACUCAUAAUGAAGGUAAAAAGAGCAGAACAUGGCACCCAAAGGCACCUUUACAUGGACGAAGGUGGAGGUGUGAAAUGGAAGUAUCUAGCAACUCAAAAACAUCCUUGCUACUACUGACUCCAUUUCUAUCAUUUUCAUUGCGGUUCUAGUUGUCUCUUCCAGGAAAUGGAGAGAGAAAUGAGCAUAGAUGAAUAACUGCACUAUAAUCAACAGGUGUGAGCGGUAAUCAGGAGCAGCAAGGUGAGGGGCGGCAACAGAGGAGCACAACGGAUCAAGGAAGGCCAGGCAGGGGGUGGAAGACAUGAGCAAGCUAAUCCAGGGACAUCAUCACAAAUCUAGGCAAUCAUGACGGCCUAGAGGGAUCAUCGGCGUGACUGAUAUCUCAACUACUACCUCCUGCCCUUCCUUUCGCCUGUACCCACCUCUGAGACGCUGAGGAGGCGGCGAGAAGGGAUGCACCGCCGCCAGCAGAGCAGUGACCACAGACACGCGCGCCACACUGACCGCUUCAUCGGGACUCGCGUGCUCAGACUGAGGUUCAUCGGAUUGAGGCUAGAUGCCUCCAGCACACACCCGCCCCCCCCAACCCCUCCACUACAAGUUGGGUACCUGAAGUUAAUCAACAUGGAGCAUGGCUAAGGUCCUAUCAAUGAUG